rnacentral:rRNA from 1 species
AUUGAACGCUAGCGGGAUGCUUUACACAUGCAAGUCGAACGAGUGGCGGACGGGUGAGUAAUAUAUCGGCACGUGCCCAGUAGCGGGGGAUAACUACUCGAAAACGUGGCUACUACCGCAUACUAUUGGAGCGGCCGUUAUCGGAUUAUCGAGUUGGUGGGGGAAAGGCUCACCAAGGCAAAGAUCCGUAGCUGGUCUGAGAGGACGACCGGCCACACUGGGACUGAGACACGGCCCAGACUCCUACGGGAGGCAGCAGUGGGGAAUUUUGGACAAUGGGGGAAAGCCUGAUCGAGCCAUCCCGCGUGUAUGAGAAGGCUUUCGGGUUGUAAAGUACUUUUGGCAGAGAAGCGGUAUCUGCAGAAUAAGCACCGGCUAACUACGUGCCAGCAGCCGCGGUAAUUC